rnacentral:rRNA from 1 species
UAGGGAAUCUUCCGCAAUGGGCGAAAGCCUGACGGAGCAACGCCGCGUGAGUGAUGAAGGUCUUCGGAUUGUAAAACUCUGUUAUCAGGGAAGAACAAAUGUGUAAGUAACUAUGCACGUCUUGACGUUACCUAAUCAGAAAGCCACGGCUAACUACGUGCCAGCAGCCGCGGUAAUACGUAGGUGGCAAGCGUUAUCCGGAAUUAGUGGGCGUAAAGCGCGCGUAGGCGGUUUUUUAAGUCUGAUGUGAAAGCCCACGGCUCAACCGUGGAGGGUCAUUGGAAACUGGAAAACUUGAGUGCAGAAGCGGAAAGAGGAAUUCCAUGUGUCGCGGUGAAAUGCGCAGAGAUAUGGAGGAACACCAGUGGCGAAGGCGACUUUCUGGUCUGUAACUGACGCUGAUGUGCGAAAGCGAGGGGAUCAAACAGG